UUUUUCUACGAAUUGAGUGCACAGCCUAAAUUGUAGGUCAACUUCUUUUAUUUGAUCUAUUUGUUUGUGCACGUUGGGUUUGAUUGCAUUAGUCGAAACAGGGUGGACCACGUGAAGGUUGCAAUCUUCCA